UGGAUGUGUUGUUUGAGUUGACGGGUUAGUGGUAAUUGAGGAGAUUUUGAUCUGGAUUUGAGGCACUACUUUUUAAUUUCAGUGGUACAUUAUGCACUUCCAAAUUCGCAAGCAUUAUGUUCUCUUAAGUGUUACUGUUUCUCUUCUUCUUUUUUUCUGUUUUUUUCCUAGUCUUUACCACUGAAUUUGUCUAAUUAGAGAAAAAUGCAUAAUUUUUUAAUGUUAGGACUUUUUUCAGUAAUUUUUUAUUAUCAUCGGGA
rnacentral:lncRNA from 1 species